rnacentral:rRNA from 1 species
UGGGGAAUAUUGGACAAUGGGGGCAACCCUGAUCCAGCCAUGCCGCGUGAGUGAUGAAGGCCUUCGGGUUGUAAAGCUCUUUUGGCGGGGACGAUGAUGACGGUACCCGCAGAAUAAGCCCCGGCUAACUUCGUGCCAGCAGCCGCGGUAAGACGAAGGGGGCUAGCGUUGUUCGGAAUUACUGGGCGUAAAGCGAGUGUAGGCGGUUGCCGUAGUCAGGUGUGAAAGCCUUGAGCUCAACUCAAGAAAUGCACUUGAUACUGGGUGACUAGAGGACCGGAGAGGAUAGUGGAAUUCCCAGUGUAGUGGUGAAAUACGUAGAGAUUGGGAAGAACACCAGUGGCGAAGGCGGCUAUCUGGACGGUUACUGACGCUAAGACUCGAAAGCGUGGGGAGCAAACAGGAUUAGAUACCCUGGUAGUCCACGCCGUAAAACGAUGGGUGCUAGACGUUGGCGAGCUUGCUCGUCAGUGUCGCAGCUAACGCGUUAAGCACCCCGCCUGGGGAGUACGGCCGCAAAGGUUGAAACUCAAAAGGAAUUGACGGGGGUCAUAGCUGUUUUCCU